UCCUCUCGUGGUUUUCCUCUUAUCUCUCCCACCGCUCAUUCAGUGUCUCCUUUUCUAAUGACACCUCCUCCCCUCGUCCUGUCUCGUUUGGAGUCCCCCAAAGCUCUGUCCUUGGUCCCCUUUUAUUUCCUCUUUAUACUGCCUCUCUUGGCAAACUUUUUCAUUCCACUACCACCUGUACGCUGAUGACACCCAGAUAUAUCUCGCCUCCCUGGAUGAUGCCAUCCUCUGCCAUCCUGCAACGUGUCACUGCUUGCCUUUCUUCCAUCUCUGACCGCUUUCUGAAAC